UUCCGGGUCGCCCCGAAGCCACACUGGUGCGUCCGAGCCCGCCAGGCCUGACCGUUCGCUCGGCCCCGCCUCCCCAGCGGCACCCAGGCCUCACCACUAGCGCAGCUGGCGCUAGCGUGUCCUGCUUUGACCACACCCUGAAGACUCGCGAAGUGUUGCUCCAUCCUAAGAGUUGUGCCUGCUGAAGUUAGUGUUCUUCCUGAUGCUGAAUCAAACUUCUGCUCAGAAUUUGUGUCGACUGCAAAGCACGGUAUCAGGAGCUCUGGCGGAGGAAAGACCGUGGGGCACACUGCUUAAAGAGAAGGCUUUCGGUUAAACCUGAAGUCUACCUCUGCUUUCCGUGUGGCCCUGGCUAACCUUCCUGAGCCUCAGUGUACUUCUCUAAAUGGGGGCGGUAAUGCCUACCUAACUGCGGGCUGAUGAGUAAAUGAGCUCUGUAGGAAUGUGAUGCCAGAGGUGCAGCAACCACACCUCAGUCCUGAAGCAACAAACAGGAGAACAAAGGCCUAUGUUACAGGGAUGGCAGAGCAGAACAGUUGAAAGGGGCUGGAUCCUUUAUAGCAUAAUCAUGCCACCGUAUAAGACCUAAGCUGUCUGCUCUAAGAAUUCUUUAAUGUCCACUUCCUGUUUAAGCAGGAAAGUCUCCCCAGCCACCGCAACCACCACCAGCCAACCCUGCAGCUUUUGUCACUUAUGCUUGUGACUCAGACUUCCAGGAAUCCUUUAGCGAAAUGUGGUCAUCUUACUUGGCACUCUGAAAUGUACAUUAUUAAUGAGGUAUACGUUAACAAUUGUUAAGACAACAUAUGCAUUUCACUGUGAUAGGUACUAUUUAGAAUUCAUCAAAGGUUCACUAACAUGGCCAAAAACAUUUUAAAAUGUAACAAAUAUUCAAGAGAUUGAAAUGUAUGAGUAUAAAGAUGAUAUAGCAUCUGACAUGAUUUUUCUUUUCUUUUCUUUUUUUUUUUUUUUUUCUUUAUAGCCACCUGAAUUAAGUACCUAGAAAUGAUUUUGAUGCUGUUGAACUUGGCCACAAUAGAAACAAUGCUGCGUCACAAGGCAUCUAAUCAAAUCUCAAUCAAGAUUAUUUUUUAAGAACAAGUGAAAUCCUGCACUUGAAGCUUAGGAAAAUUAGCUCAUUUCAACACUGGACUUUCAAAAUCUUAAUUGGUCCCAGAUGUUUGAUUAUAAACCAUUUUGUGGAAAAUGGAAGGAAGAAAAUCACACAUGCAUUAGAUGCCAAAUGGGUGAUUUAAGUGAUGUACCAUCUAAUGAAUUCUUAGAACAGCCCUGAGAGAUAAUAAGGACAAUGAAACUCAGAAAGACUAAGUAUCUUGCCCAAAGUCACACCGCUAGUGGCUUCCAAAUCAAAUUCUGAUUUCUCUGUAAUGCACAUUCUUUCCACUACACUGAACUUUCUUAUUUAAAGAUAUUCAUUCAUAACAAGACACAUUCAGGAUGAAAAGGCUUUCAGGAACAUCUUAGAGGUCGUCUAGGUCAGCUUUCCAAGUAUUUCCAGAAUCAUUCAUUCUGUCUCUGAAGGGCAGUCAGCCAACUUUGGCUUAAACCCUUCUAGGGAGAGAGGAGGCACCAUAGUUCUCACUACAGCAUGACCUAUUAUUAUUACAAGUAAAUUAAAAUCUGCAUUGCUAUAAUUUGUCUUUAGGCCACUUUUAUCCUGAUUAAUCCAAAAUAUGUUUACUCUUACUCCACAUGCCAGCCCUUCAAAUAGUUAACCAUUAAUUCCUCUCUACUUCUCUAGACUAAACAGCCCCAGAUCCUUCAACCAUCCUUAAAAGUAGUUUCAAGAUCACUCAAAAUACAGACUCACCUUUGGACACACUAGUUUACAUAUCCCUCAUCAAUUAUGGUAACCAUACUGAGCAUUUAGAUACGUGAUUUCCCUAGAAUAGUCUUCCUAAGGCCACAUCUGUAUUUCUGUUAAUUUCUGUAUUAAUAUAAAUCUUCAUAAGCUUCAUAAGCUGGUUUAGCAGUUGGAUUCCCUGCUUUUCAGAAACUAUAUGUCUAGUCAGUUCUUAGAGUGACCAUUUGGCUAAGACAGAAGUCUGUAAUUUCUCUGAUGAUUCUAUCCAUUGACUUAUUUAUGAUAAUGCUUGGAGAAAAUUGUAGCAAAUAGCAUCUCACUGACCUCCUUUAGGUGAUCAGAGGAAUGGAGGAAGGGACACGUCCCCUGUAUUUUUCACCCUUUGGAGAAUUUUGACCUAAAUGCAUGUAUUAAGUUAUCUUGUGCUGCAAAACAAAUUACCCCCCAGACUGUGGAUCAGAAUUUUGGGAGCAUCUUCAUUGGUGGUUCUGAUUUUGUUCUCUCAUGAAAUUGCAGUCAAGAUUUCAGCUGACAUUCAGUUAUCUGAAGGCUUGAUGGGGACUGGAGGAAAUGUUUCCAUGGGUAGCUCACUUAUAAGGCUGGCAAUUUGGACUGGUUGUGGGUGUGAAGUCUCAGUUCCUCCUCAUGUGGGUCUCUCCACAGGACUGCUUUUGAGUGUCCUCAAAGCUGGACAGCUGGAUUCCUCCAAAAUGAGGGAUCCAAGAGACCAAGGCUGAAACAGCAAUGCCUUUCAUGAGCUAGUUUCUGAAAUCAUACACUGUCAUGUCCGAUGCUCUAUCUGAUCACAAAGACCAGCCCUGAAUCACUGUGGGAGGAGAGUGUGUACAAGUGUGAAUACCUGGAGGUAAGGGCCUCCUGUCAUAUUGGAGUCCAGUUAUGAUGAUGUACCUUAUCAGAGCAUAGCAGGUCGUAGUAGAGACCCCGUUCCUUCUAUAUGCAACUCUCCGAGUCCAGAUCCCAGGAAUAAUCUUACAGUUGUUUCACAGCUGCUUGGUCUUCUCUGUUAUUUAGCCUCUCUCUUCCCUGAGAUCUCUCACCAGUUUCCUCCCUCCAAAAUUAGAACUAUCUAAUUCUAUUAGCUAUGUUUCUCAAAUGUUAAUAAAUAUUUAUUUUUUGCUAAAAGCAAAUAUAGUUUAGCUGAGUUUGGGAAUACUAAAUUUGUUAACUCUCCAUUCAAAUAAAGUUAAGAAUGAUCACUAAAUUGAACAUGGAGAUUAGUCACUGGCUUAACCCAGGGGUUCUUAAUCUGGGUCCACAGAUAUACCCUGAAUUAUCUAUAGGACGGUGUACAUACGUACACAUGUGCAUUUAUCUAGAGGGAGAGUCCAGGGUUUUUAUCAGCUUCCUGAAAGGGCCAUUUGUAAUGCCUUUCGAUAAAAUCCAGUCUUCAUCAUAAGGUUUUUCCAGUUGGAGGAAAUGGGUUAUUGAACCAAUUAUCAAGUUACUGCCUCAAGAGUCCAAAAACACUGUUCAUUGUCUGCUUUGUGAUGAUAGAAAAAAUAAUCAUGUAAAUAUUUCUCCUU